AAGGGAGGAAGAGACAGAAAAGCCAGCCAAGACAUUAGAGUCAUCUCUAGUGCCUGGUGAUGGAUAGACAAUGACAGGGGUCAAACAAGUUGUCAGUGCCUUUACCUGUGGAGCCAUCUAAUCAUUCCAGCAUCAAAAGUACCUUUGAGGAUCCCAAGUCCUGAGGAGAGAGUCCUUCGGAGCCAGCAGGGCAGCUAGGGAAUCUUCAGAGACUAUCAAGUGCCAAUCUCCCGUGAUGAGUGCAGGAAGAGGAGGCAAAGCUAGAAGAUACGAGGCCAAUAAACUCAUGUUCGUCUCCAAGAGCAGAGAUAAUGA